rnacentral:rRNA from 1 species
UAAAGUCUAACCUGCCCACUGAAAAUUUUUAAAUGGCCGCAGUAUUUUAACUGUGCAAAGGUAGCAUAAUCAUUAGUCUUUUAAUUGAAGGCUGGAAUGAAUGGUUGGACGAAAUAUUAACUGUUUCAUUUAAAUUUUUUAUAGAAUUUUAUUUUUUAGUCAAAAAGCUAAAAUUUAUUUAAAAGACGAGAAGACCCUAUAAAUCUUUAUAUUUUAUUUAUUUUAAUUAUAAAGAUUAUUUUUAUUAUAAUAAAUAAAAAUAUUUUAUUGGGGUGAUAUUAAAAUUUAAAAAACUUUUAAUGAAAAAAAUCAUUAAUGUAUGAAUAUUUGAUCCAUUAAUAAUGAUAAAAAAUUUAAGUUACUUUAGGGAUAACAGCGUAAUUUUUUUGGAGAGUUCAUAUCGAUAAAAAAGAUUGCGACCUCGAUGUUGGAUUAAGAUAUAAUUUUGGGUGUAGCCGUUCAAAUUUUAAGUCUGUUC